AGGGGGGAGGACUGUUCAUUAGUAGUUGAUUUACAAGCUGCAAUGAUUCAGUGUUCAGUGGCUGAAAUAUUGAUUAGCCGAGUAGUCACAUAAACUCUUAAUAUUCCAAUGGCCUGCAGCCGCAUUGGUAGGAGGGUGCCUUAUGGGCUAUUCAUAACCUAGCUUCAAUACGGUUUUUGCUCACCAUCUGUUCAAUUAAGUUGCUGACUAGCUCUUUAGAUAGUUCAAUGAUUUGCACCGUUGAUAAAAUCUACUUUGGCAGGUUAGUGCGACAAGCACGUAUCCAGAAGUUUCUCUGCAGAUAAGACGCUUAGCAAUGGCUGUGGGAAUAGCUCAAUUGGCUAAUCCAUGUAUACUCUUUGUUUAUCAUCAAGUUUAGUACUUCUAUGGAGUCGAACGUUCUCUGUGAUUUGAAAGAAAUUGAUGUCUCAAGAUCAAUUAGCAUGGCCUUGGAGUAAAUCGGCUGGUAUGCAAGUAUGACAAGUGGAUGACACUUUCAACAUUUUCUUCUCCCGUCCGCAUGUGCUUGUUGGUCCAGUUCUAAAAAUUUGCUGCAAGGUUUCUAUAAUACAGAUUAAAGAAGAAUCAGAUCAUGUAUAUAAUUUGUUCGCUGACUACCAGAUACUGGAACUUCUGAGAACCCCUUUCCAACCCAUGUUUGCAAAUAAAAAGCUUGCGGCUUGGGAGCAUCUCAGAAUUUUUAUCUCGACCUUGCAGUAACUGAGUCUCUAUCGGCACAAAAUGCAAUUGAAUAUCUCAAAGUAAUGGAGCAUUUGAUCAGAGAGCCUGCUGUUUACUGGGAGUUGGUAAACUAUAUUACUAAUCUCAGACACUGAUUAAUUAACUAUAUUACUAAUCAAAGAGCCUGUUGUUUACUGGGAGCUGGUAAUACUACUGGCUUACUCUUUGGAACCUUCGGUUGAUCUAUACAUGUGUAGCUAGCUGCUUUUCUCCAUGGCGCAUUUCGUGUAGAUACGUAGAGAUGUUGAUUAGUAAAUGCAUGCAAACUGAAUUCUGUAUUAGUUUCCCAGCCAGUAGCAUCAUUGAAACGGCGGUUCUUCUCCAUGCGAGUUAAACGGAUUGCUUGGGUGAGAUUUUGUUAGGAUAAUCUCAGAGGUUGCGAGCAAUCAGUAGAGUUACUCAUAGUACUAAUACAUGUGCAAGUUUUCUUUAAUUAAUUUUGGUGCUUCUCCUGAUUGAAGAUGGUCGUGACCAAUUUUAGAACUUUAAAACCCCAUUAAACAUUGUUGGUAUGAAUUGGGCUUGGAAAAUACUCGAUCGAGCAGCUCCUUUGUUCUACAUUUUGGUUCAGCCUAAAUACUCGAUCGAGCAGCUCCUUUGUUCUACAUUUUGGUUCAGCCUAAAUACUCGAUCGAGCAGCUCCUUUGUUCUACAUUUUGGUUCAGCCUUACACACUUCACCGGGUAUAUGAAUUUAUUUAGAUGUAUGUAGAUACUUAGGCGUACAGGGAUCUACAUAGGCACACACGAGGAGGGCAACAGCGUCGACAUGGCAAUCGAGUCACUCCUGAAUGCGGAGAAGCAGUGUUGCCUGGCUGGCGAUGUGGCCAGCACUAGGAAGGACAUCGUCGAGCUCUCCUUCAAGGAUGGCGCCUGGAAGACGCUUAACUGCCAGAUCGUUGUCCUCUCUAAGAGGAGGAGGGCCAGCUCAAUCUCCGUGCCCCUGCAGAGAAUGGCGUCACCGGGGAGGACGGCAGCGGCGUGCCCGUGUUCGCGGAGUACAACCUCGACGAGCUCCGCGCCUCCACCGACGGCUUCGCAACGGACCACAUCGUCUUCGAUCACUGCGAGAAGGAGCCUAACACCAUCUACCACGGGCCCUCUUCAGCUCUGGCACCACCGUCGCCAUCAAGCUCUUCUACCGCUCCGCCUGGCCUGACACACGCCAAUUCAUGGAGGAGGCUAGGGCAGUUGGGCUGCUGCAGAGCGUUCGCUUGUCCAACCUCAUCGGAUGAUGCUACAAGGGUGGCGAGCGGCUGCUCGUUGCUGAGUUCAUGACGCAUGAUACCUUGGCAGCUGUGAUUCAUAGUGUGGUUAGGGUUUGUUAAGUUUACUAGCUCCUUCAUUGAUGAUGGGUCGCUGGUGGUGCUUUUCUGCCAAGAAUUAAAAAAAUAACUUAUUCCAUGUUUCAUGCGGUUUAUGCAUCUCUUUCCUAUUUCUCUGUUUCA